UUUUUUUUUUUUUUUUUUGCUUUCUCUCUCUCUCUCUCUUUCAUAAAUUAGAGAUGGAGUCUCACUAUAUUGCCCAGGCUAGUCUCAAAUUCCUGGCCUUAAGUGAUCCUCCCACCUCGUAAUCUACUUUUUGGGGACUAAUGAGGUGUAGCCAAAAUACAACAUGUGGGAGGCAGUAAAUGUAGAGAUUAGGAGUAGAUUUGGCAAGCCAGACUGCUGUGGUCACACCCCAGCACAGAAUUUAUGAAUCCGGCUCCUCUCCAUUCAAAUCUCUGCCAAAAAUCACCUCCUUCUGGAGGCCCACCAUGACUAUUCUAUUUAAUACAGCUUACCCCACUGCCCUAUCACUCUCUACACCAUUCUCAUUUUAUUAUGCUCAGAGUAUCUAUUAUUCUCCGAAGAAGCAUUUCUUGAAAUCUAGCUGGUAAUCUUCUUUCCUUAUUAGAAUGUAAGCUCCAUGAGAGCAGGGAUCUCUCUGUAUCAGAAUCUGUAUUGUGCUUGGUAGGUAGUUGACUCAAUAAACAUUUCUGAGUGAAUGAAUAUAUUAUAUGGAAAUUGAAGAAUACAAGCUUCUCCACAUAAGCACGUGGCAGAAAAGACAAAAAGAGAGGUAGAGAAAAAGACUCUCUUUUUAUUUAAGCUUCCCUCCCCUGUUGAAAUCCACUACUCCAAAAAAGGGAGACACUGACCAAAACAGAAACAAAAGAAACUAAUUCUUGGUUUUUAUGCUUCCUGAUAAUUUAAGGGAUUUUCAUAGAUAGGUUUGACAAAUGCAAUUUUUUUGCCUUAGGCACUGGCACUAGAAACUAUUAAUAAACAAGAUUGGCCUACAGAGGGUGCUAGUUCUCUUCAAAAAAGUAAAAGAAGUGCAUGCGCUUUUCCACUGGGUCUGGGAAAGAGUUUACAAAACAAGCAGAGACACAGCUUAGUAACAACUAAUGAAACGUCUAAAUUGCCACAUUUUGCUUCAUAAAAAAAAAAAAAGGAGGAAUCUGUGAAAGUGCCAGAGGCAUUCAAAGACGUCCCCUGAGGAAAAGAAUUGGCAUCAUUUUUCAAAUGCAAAGAGAAGCUAAGCUAAGAGAAGCAUCCAUUUAAAAAGUUUUUUUAGUUCUUAUUUUUGAUAGAGAAGGGGUAUCACUAUGUUGACUGGCCUGAUUUUGAACUCGGAGGCUCAAAGGAUCCUCUGCCCCUCAGAGUGCUUGGAUUGCAGGUGUGAGCUACCAAGAGAGGCAUCCAGAAGUUGAAAAGACUGAAUCUGUUGUGAAACAGAAGACCCAGGUCGGGGGAAGUUGUUGCCAGCCCUGGAGGGAGGAGAGGUGACAGGCCUCUGCCACAUUCCACCCCCACUUCAUGCUGGGACAUGGGGACCUGGAGACCUAGUGUGAGAUGCCUGUAGACUCUGUAACUGGAGGAGUGUUCUGACAGCUGUGUUUCCUGAAACUGAGUCUUGGUUUCAGAGUUCAGCAAGGGAUAUGCAUGGUGGUGGUAGCGUUGGGACAGAAGCGGGGCACUACUUGAGAGUUUUGAAAUAUGUAAUUUGUCACAGCAAGGACAAGGGCAAGUGAGCCUGGCAGGAGGGAGGAGCCUCUUCAAAGUCUGGAUCUGCAAAAAAAAUCUUCAGAAGAGGAAAUGAAACAAAUAAGCGAGUUCUUAAAAAAGCUUUUGAGCUCUCUAAAUGAGCAAUAGUUGAGGCAGCUUUGAUAGUCCAAAGCUAACCUCAAGGCUGGGAUUCUUUUAUUUAUUUAUUUAUUUAUUUAUUUAUUUAUUUAUUUAUUUAUUUAUUAUUUUGUAGAGAUGGGAAGGGGAGGGGUCUCACUAUGUUGCCCAGCCUGGUCUUAAACUCCAGGCCUCAAGCAGUCCUCCAGCCU
rnacentral:lncRNA from 1 species